rnacentral:rRNA from 1 species
GACGGAGGAUGCAAGCGUUAUCCGGAAUGAUUGGGCGUAAAGCGUCCGCAGGUGGCAGUUCAAGUCUGCUGUCAAAGACCGGGGCUUAACUUCGGAAAGGCAGUGGAAACUGAACAGCUAGAGUAUGGUAGGGGCAGAGGGAAUUCCUGGUGUAGCGGUGAAAUGCGUAGAGAUCAGGAAGAACAUCGGUGGCGAAGGCGCUCUGCUGGACCAUAACUGACACUCAGGGACGAAAGCUAGGGGAGCGAAUGGGA